rnacentral:rRNA from 1 species
UCCAGACUCCUACGGGAGGCAGCAGUGGGGAAUAUUGGACAAUGGGCGAAAGCCUGAUCCAGCCAUGCCGCGUGUGUGAAGAAGGUCUUCGGAUUGUAAAGCACUUUAAGUUGGGAGGAAGGGCAGUAAGAUAAUACCUUGCUGUUUUGACGU